GCUUCGGUAGCUCAGCGGUAGAGCGUAAGAUUCUUGCAGUCCCUCUGACCGGGUAAGAGUCUGAAGGCCGUGGGUUCGACUCCCGCCUGAGGCA